AUGUAAGAUUGAUCUGUCUGUGACAACUGUCACUCUGCUGAUCACCAGUGUUGAUUUGGCAGAUAUGCAUGGCUAGAUAAAUGUACCCCUUCCUCCUUCAUCAUU
ensembl:misc_RNA 7SK 7SK RNA